UACGAAGGGGGCUAGCGUUGUUCGGAAUUACUGGGCGUAAAGCGCACGUAGGCGGCUUUCUAAGUCAGGGGUGAAAUCCUGGAGCUCAACUCCAGAACUGCCUUUGAUACUGGGAAGCUCGAGUCCGGAAGAGGUAAGUGGAACUCCGAGUGUAGAGGUGAAAUUCGUAGAUAUUCGGAAGAACACCAGUGGCGAAGGCGGCUUACUGGUCCGGUACUGACGCUGAGGUGCGAAAGCUAGGGGAGCAAACGGG
rnacentral:rRNA from 1 species